GAUGAACGCUGGCGGCGUGCCUAAUACAUGCAAGUCGAGCGAACAGACGAGGAGCUUGCUCCUCUGACGUUAGCGGCGGACGGGUUAGUAACACGUUGAUAACCUACCUAUAAGACUGGGAUAACUUCGGGCAACCGGAGCUAAUACCGGAUAACAUGUUGAACCGCAUGGUUCAACAGUGAAAGACGGUCUUGCUGUCGCUUAUAGAUGGAUCCGCGCCGCAUUAGCUAGUUGGUAAGGUAACGGCUUACCAAGGCAACGAUGCGUAGCCGACCUGAGAGGGUGAUCGGCCACACUGGAACUGAGACACGGUCCAGACUCCUACGGGAGGCAGCAGUAGGGAAUCUUCCGCAAUGGGCGAAAGCCUGACGGAGCAACGCCGCGUGAGUGAAGAAGGUCUUCGGAUCGUAAAACUCUGUUAUUAGGGAAGAACAAAUGUGUAAGUAACUAUGCACGUCUUGACGGUACCUAAUCAGAAAGCCACGGCUAACUACGUG
rnacentral:rRNA from 1 species